rnacentral:rRNA from 1 species
CCUACGGGAGGCAGCAGUGGGGAAUAUUGGACAAUGGGGGAAACCCUGAUCCAGCCAUGCCGCGUGAGUGAAGAAGGCCUUAGGGUUGUAAAGCUCUUUCGGUGGUGACGAUGAUGACGGUAGCCACAGAAGAAGCCCCGGCUAACUCCGUGCCAGCAGCCGCGGUAAU